AAGAAAGAAAGAAAGAAAGAAAGAAAGAAAGAAAGAAAGAAAGAAAGAAAGAAAGAAAGAAAGGACUCCCCAUUCAGAGGUCCAGAGGGUAUUUAUAAAACCAGAAACUGUUUUGAUUUGCAAUGCCCCAUUUUAAGAGAGGCUGCAGAGUUUCUACAGGUGGCCUCUGGAAGUUCCCUGAAGCAUCCAGGGGAGGAUUUAGAGUUAAGGCUCUGGGUACAAAAGCCGCCUUUUACAACUUGGGCUGAUUUCCGAACACGCCUGAUUUCCAGGAAUCAGUGCAAAGCAGAAACUGAAACUAAACAGGCUGCAUAAAAAGCACUCGCAUCCGCUCGAGCUUCACAAAAGCAUCGAAACCCCUCGCAGAGCGAAUAUAGCCGGUUUUGGCUCCUCUCCAGUCUGAACUUCAAAGACAAACAAGUUCCGACGCCGAAAUGGCUGUCCAGCCCAAAGUUGCGCUUGCUACGAGAGCCGUGAUGAACAUUAGCAAAGCAGAGGAAGUCCGAAAGGAGACAGAACUGAUGAUGAAGCCCCACGCAAAUUGGGAGGAGUAUCUGAUGCCUGGGCCCAUUUCUAUCGCCCUCUUAGGGGAGCUGGCUUGCAUUGCUGCAGGAGAAGGAGACUUUGCCAUCAAUCUUGCCCCACCCGAGGGAGGCUACAAAUAUAUGAGGUAUCCGGACUCUUUCCGGGCCUCCCUGAUGCAGGUGAGCAACAGUGGGUGGCAUGCCUUCAGCAUAGCCCACAAGAAUAUGGAUGGCAUCCGGCUGCUUUCUAUGAGCGUCCCUGAGCAAAUCAAGAUGGUCAUGAAGACCUUAUUCCAGGGUGACCUUACCUUGAUAGAUGCCUUGCUCCCUGGACAGCUAUCCAGCCUGAAAUCAAUUGCAAAUGAAUGUUCCUCUUUGGCUAAGGCAGUUGACAAUAAGUUCAAUGAUGUCAUCUGUCUGACUGAGGAACUCCUGGAAGUGUGUAUGAGUUCCAAAUCACAGUAUGAACAAGGAUUGACGCAAACCAAACAUGCCUUGGAAGACCUGAAGCUAAGAAAAGCAGCAGCUGAAGAAGCCCAGGCCAAAGCAGAGCAAUACUACAAGGAAGUAAAGAACAGAGUGACUGAUACGUUUGACGAUUAUAGAAAAAUGAUAGAUAGCAUUCCUACUGGCUGGAGUAGUGUAAAUCUGGAUUUCACUUCAACUGUAAGAGAAACCUUGACGGUGCCCAUUACCUGCCUGACAUCCUUGCUCAGCUUUAACGGAAAUAAGUUGCUUUCUCCAAUCGACAGCAGAAGUGAGGAAGAGUUUGAAAGUAGGGAUGACUUUAUAGCCAUGAACAACAUCUGUGCCCUGUCAGGUCAAAUGGUGGUAUUGGUGGACGGUCUUAAAACCGUGGUGGAUGAUGAAGGUAAUAUUGACAUGGAUGUCCUCUACAAUAAAAAAAACAACGAAAUCAAAACCAUAUGGAUCAAAAAGAAAUCCCAGCAACUGUUAGAGAAAAUAAAAAAAGAAAGAAACUGCAGCCUGAAAAAUGUGGCAGUGAAAAUAUGUAACGAUAUCAUCACGAUUUCCAAUAUGUUAACUGAAAGAGCAGUGUCAGGGAACAUAAACCAGAAAAAACUGAUAAAGAAAAUGAACACCCUCUCGAUUGAUAUUGAGGUUUUCGACAGCAGAAGCAAAUUCUGCAGCCGCACAUCCCCUUUUGGUCCCAUGGCACCAAAUAUGUCCAAAUCCCAGAGAAAUGUCCAAGAAGACUCAUCGUUGUCAUCGGCGAUGAAAAACAGCCUUUUGAAAACCGAGCAAACGAAAGAAAUACUGAAGAUGUGUCAAGAAGAAUACCAGAAAAGCUUCGACAACUUAAAGGAGCAGAAUAAGGAUUUGCUGGACGUGCUCAGUGAAAUGAAGAAAUGCGAAAUAAAGGAGAUUGAUUUUGAAAAAGCCCAAAACAUGCUGAUCAAGAGAAAGAGGUUAAUCAAAUCAGCCAGAAUGAACAGAGUAAUUAAACAUUGAGUUUUGGGUUAGAUAAUAAGAAUUUCUUUUAUUUGGUUGUUAAUCAUACAGUUAUUAACUGCUAUUACACUAUGUUGUUUUCCAUAUGGUUGCAAUCUUAAGACUGAAAUAGGAUUUUUUUUAACUCUUUUUGCCGUUCAGUUGUUACUUUUACAUGUUAAUAUUUCUUUUACUGAUUCAUUACAGCUUUUCUGCCACAUAUAAGAACUAUGUUAGUCAUUCUGAAGUUACUAAACAUUAUAGUAAACAACUCUCCUGCAUUAAAUUCUUUCUUUUAUGCUAGAAAGAGUCAAUAAAUGUCUAUUCUCUAAAAUUG